rnacentral:snRNA from 1 species
GUGCUUGCUUUGGCAGCACAUAUACUAAAAUUGGAACGAUACAGAAAAGAUUUGCACAAGGAUGACACACAAAUUCAUGAAGCAUUCCAUAUUUUU